rnacentral:lncRNA from 10 species
AGAGAAGUGACUUCCCCAUGGUCACAUGUCUAGUUGGCAAUGGAAGUGGGAUUCAAGUCCAGUUCCACCUGACUUCAAAGCUUAUUCCUGUUUGACUUCACCCUGCUGCCUCUAAGAUAAAGGGGAGAUCAGGAGAGCAGAAUGGUUGCUUCCCCAGAGGAACAUGUGGUCUCAUUUUCUGCUUAGGGAUAGCUCACAGGAUUCAUGAAGUGGUCACCAGAGGAUAAGGACCAACCAGGUUAACGUGAAGAAAACACCCAGCUGCAGCUGUUUAAUGAGCAACUCGAAGCUGUGGAUAAGAGCAAUCACUGCACCCAGCCACCUCUAUAUACAUGUACACAAAGCCACACAGUUUACACAGUCACAGGUAUUUAAGUACACACUAUUCACACACAAAUACAUAUAUAGACACACAUGUACAGUCCGUCCAAAAUAUAUGUACAUAAAAGCACACUAUUACACCUUCAUAUGUGCACACACACACACACCCAGACUCACUUCAUACACACAUAGAUACAACAGCCACAGCUCCCCAUCACCUACACACACACACACACACCUGGACACCCAGCUCUAAUAUAAUCAGAUAGAGAUAUGCAUGCAGACAAAUUUGCCUGUAUAGUCAAACACAUAGGCAAAUAGAGAACGAGACACCACAUGAACAAAGGCAAACCUACACACAAAGACACAGAGCACACUUACGCAUAUAUCUAUAGACCCACCAUGGCACAUAUGGGUAAGUGCACACAGGCAAACUCACACACACGAGCAUGCACAGGCAGAGAACACAAAUGUACACUCCCAGGUGUCAUAAAGAACAGCCCAGCUUCGGCUUGGGAACGUCACAUCAGACAAUAGGAACGGCUGCACCGCGCGUUUCCUCGGCUGCCAGCUUCCCAGCCACAGAGGAUGCCUCACCUGCUAUGUCAGCUCCCCUCUGCCCCACCUCACAAGAAGCUCAGAAGCUGAGGAGUCACAGAGAGACCUCCCUACUGUGUCAGAGGUACAGCUUGAGCAAAGACACAGAAGCAGAAGGCAGGUUUUUGGUUCCAUGAACUCUACAUCUGGCUACAUACAAAUGGUGAAGAGGAACAGGGAGAAACAUGGUUGAAAAGAACAGGCUUGGACUUCAGGAAGCAGUAAAAUGAGCGAAUGCCAUUUAUGGUUACAAAGAUAACUCAGCUGGGGGCCAAACAGAGACUGAAAUGGAGUGGGUGAGGAUGGAGGCCGGGAGGAGAUGGCUGCAGAGGUCCCAGCAAUGACAGUGGUUGUGGGAAGGGGCAACCCCAAGUCUUGUGCUCCCAACUGCAAAUCCAGUGCUUUUUCUAAAAAAAUAUUUAAAUAAUUUAUUUAUUUUUGAGAUGGAGUCUCGCUCUGUCACCCAGGCUGGAGUGCAGUGACACAAUGUCGGCUCGUGCAACCUCUGCCCCCCGGGUUCAAGCGAUUCUCCUGCCUCAGCCUCCCAAGUAGCUGGGAUUACAGACGCACGCCUCCACGCCUGGCUAAUUUUUUAUAUUUUUGGUAGAGAUGGGGUUUCACCAUGUUGCCCAGGCUGGUCUCGAACUCCUGACUUCAAGUGAUCCACCCACCUCGGCCUCCCAAAGUACUAGGAUGACAGGCGUGAGCCACUGUGCCCAGCCUUAUUUUUUUUUUUAAUUUAUAUUUUCAGAGGCAAACGAUCCUUGCUCAUUAAAAAAAGGAAAUAGAAAUUCAAAACAAAAAUGCCUGUAUCUGAUGGGAAAGAUGAGCCCAAUGUUCUUUUUUAAAAAACCUUUAUUAUGAAAUAUUUCAACUGAACAUAUGCAGUUUAUAUUGUUAUAAAGCAUAACAAGCAAUCAAACAGCUGUGAACCCACCACUCCAUGUCAGAACUAGAACUUCCCAAAGCAGUCGGAGCUGAGGUGAGAUCCACUCUGAUGCCCUUCCCCAACUCCACGCCACCCCCCAAGACCUGACCACCUGAUUACUCUGGGAUUUCAUUUUUGUCUCGUUCCCUUGCUUUGCUUUAUGUCUUUACCAAAUGUGAAUGUGUGCCUAAACAAUACAGUGCUCGAUUUGCUUGUGUUUAAGCUUUAUUACAAAUAUAACUUUGAUCCUUC